rnacentral:rRNA from 1 species
UGGGGAAUCUUCCGCAAUGGACGAAAGUCUGACGGAGCAACGCCGCGUGAGUGAUGACGGUCUUCGGAUUGUAAAGCUCUGUUAAUCGGGACGAAUGGUUUGUGUGCAAAUAGUGCAUAGACAUGACGGUACCGGAAUAGAAAGCCACGGCUAACUACGUGCCAGCAGCCGCGGUAAUACGUAGGUGGCAAGCGUUGUCCGGAAUUAUUGGGCGUAAAGCGCGCGCAGGCGGACUAGCCAGUCAGUCUUAAAAGUUCGGGGCUUAACCCCGUGAUGGGAUUGAAUCUUCUAGUCUAGAGUAUCGGAGAGGAAAGUGGAAUUCCUAGUGUAGCGGUGAAAUGCGUAGAUAUUAGGAAGAACACCAGUGGCGAAGGCGACUUUCUGGACGAACACUGACGCUGAGGCGCGAAAGCCAGGGGAGCGAACGGG